UACGAAGGGUGCAAACGUUGCUCGGAAUCAUUGGGCGUAAAGCGCACGUAGGCUGUCUCACAAGUCGGAUGUGAAAUCCCUCGGCUCAACCAAGGAAGUGCAUUCGAAACUGUGAGACUUGAGUACCAAAGAGGAUCGUAGAAUUCCCGGUGUAGAGGUGAAAUUCGUAGAUAUCGGGAGGAAUACCAGUGGCGAAGGCGGCGAUCUGGGUGGAUACUGACGCUGAGGUGCGAAAGCGUGGGGAGCAAACAGG
rnacentral:rRNA from 1 species